AUUGAACGCUGGCGGCAUGCCUUACACAUGCCAGUCGAACGGCAGCAUGAUCUAGCUUGCUAGAUUGAUGGCGAGUGGCGAACGGGUGAGUAAUACAUCGGAACGUGCCCUGUAGUGGGGGAUAACUAGUCGAAAGAUUAGCUAAUACCGCAUACGACCUGAGGGUGAAAGUGGGGGACCGCAAGGCCUCAUGCUAUAGGAGCGGCCGAUGUCUGAUUAGCUAGUUGGUGAGGUAAAGGCUCACCAAGGCGACGAUCAGUAGCUGGACUGAGAGGACGAUCAGCCACACUGGGACUGAGACACGGCCCAGACUCCUACGGGAGGCAGCAGUGGGGAAUUUUGGACAAUGGGCGAAAGCCUGAUCCAGCAAUGCCGCGUGUGUGAAGAAGGCCUUCGGGUUGUAAAGCACUUUUGUCCGGAAAGAAAUGGCUCUGGUUAAUACCUGGGGUCGAUGACGGUACCGGAAGAAUAAGGACCGGCUAACUACGUG
rnacentral:rRNA from 1 species